GGCUCUGUGGUCUAGUCGUAUGAUUCGCGCUUCGGGAACAAUCCCCUCUCAUCUCAUGAGAGUCACUGUGCGAGGUCCCGGGUUCAAAUCCCGGCAGAGCCC